AUUGAACGCUGGCGGCAUGCCUUACACAUGCAAGUCGAACGGCAGCACGGGAGCAAUCCUGGUGGCGAGUGGCGAACGGGUGAGUAAUAUAUCGGAACGUGCCCAGUAGUGGGGGAUAACUGCUCGAAAGAGCAGCUAAUACCGCAUACGACCUGAGGGUGAAAGGGGGGGAUCGCAAGACCUCUCGCUAUUGGAGCGGCCGAUAUCGGAUUAGCUAGUUGGUGGGGUAAAGGCCUACCAAGGCAACGAUCUGUAGUUGGUCUGAGAGGACGACCAGACACACUGGGACUGAGACACGGCCCAGACUCCUACGGGAGGCAGCAGUGGGGAAUUUUGGACAAUGGGCGCAAGCCUGAUCCAGCAAUGCCGCGUGCAGGAAGAAGGCCGUCGGGUUGUAAACUGCUUUUGUCAGGGAAGAAAUCCUCUAGGUUAAUACCCUUGGGGGGAUGACGGUACCUGAAGAAUAAGCACCGGCUAAUUACGUGCCAGCCGCCGCGGUAAGAC
rnacentral:rRNA from 1 species